GUUUGACUGGUUUUUAAUGCUUUGGAUACAAAAUGUAGGAGUAGAAGCAGAAGCCCUUUCAAAGGAUUAAGACAUGCUUCUGAGAGCAGGAAUAAUAGAGGUAGAAAGGGAGGAAGAUCUGCUGCACCUUGUAGAGAUUUUGUAGCAGCCAGGCAUAGGAGAAGUGGCCAAUGCAGAUACCUUCAUGAAGAUGGUAGUCCAAGACACACUGGUAGGUAUCAUAACAAUGAUGCAACUGAGAUCAGGAAAAGUAGAUCUGAGAGGGGAAGGUACUCAGUGCAUGACAACAAGGAGGACAUCAGAGAUUCAUUGGAUCAAAGCAAUUAUUCAAGGAACAGGUUUUCUCGGAGGCAUGAAAGUGAUGGCAGUGGUGAGGAGAGGCAUGAGGUGUAUAAAACUAGCAGGUCUGCUGGCCUCUGUCAUGACUUUGCAAGGGGUAGAUGCCACAGAGGUUCAAUGUGCAGAUAUCUUCAUCAUGAUGCUUUCUCUGGUGGUGGACCUUUCAGGAAAGAUAAUCCCCGGGAGAGGACAUUUGAUAGAAGAGACGCGGAUGCGUCUUCCUUCAGGCAAAAUCUUGAGCCUCGCAGGGUUACAGAUGUACCUUGCAAGUAUUUUGCCAAAGGCCACUGCCGUCAUGGUGAAGACUGCAAGUUUUCUCAUCAGGUUCUACCACAAUCUCAUUCAAAAGAGAGGAGAGAUGAUGAUACGUGGAAUACUGGUACGGAAUCUGACAAAAGUCCGGUAUGGAAUGGACCAAAGUGGGGUGAAUGUGAUGAAACUGCUACUUCAUGGGAUGGUCCAAAAUGGGGUGAUCAGGCAGCCACUGCAUGGAAUGGUUCGAAAUGGGGCGAUGUUGCCGAGAUGCAUGCACCCAACUCCUCUCAGUGGAUGAGUGACAGUAAUGGCGCAGGAGAUGCUGCUCCUCACUCCAUGGGUAUAAAAGAUUACACAAUUAAAUCUCAGCAUCCUCCAUCAUCAGAACCUGAGAAGAAUAACCAUCAAAGCUUACUGAAGGAGGUGAUUGAGAAAGCUUUACCCUCCCGAGUGCAGAAUAUGACUAAGGAAGUGCCGGGGAAAGAUCAAAAUUUUCCAAGUGUUACUACAGAAACAGUGGUUGGUGCUUGUGUCCAGCGGCAUCCUAGCAUCAUGGAAGAGGUGCUUUGUGGUGAUGGUGAGGAAAGUGAGAAUGUAAAUGCCAAUGGUGAGAAAUCCCAGGCAGACAUGAAAAUUUCAGCUAACAAUCUGCAGGCUGUGGUUUCUGUCCAUAACCAGUGUUUUGGUGAGAGUUGGCAAAGCCACCCAUUAGCCCCUCAGCCUCCAGAUGCACAAAACAUCAGCCAAAAUGAGCAGAACCAGCAAGUCCUUCCUCAAUUACCUUCAAAUACUAAUCUCACCGGGCAAAAUCUGCAGUGUCUUCUUCCUCAUAAUGGACAGAGCCAAAAUCUGGCUGAAAAGAGUCAGCACUAUCUAUCUCUUUCUCCUCAUAUUUCCCCGAGCCAACAGGUUGAUGCUUCAAAUGGGCAGAACCAGAACUCACCUAUUGUACCACCAUCUGCUGAGCCAAAUCAGGCCUCUGUUUCACAGCAGCAGUCUCCUCCUACAUCUGAUGGCAUGAAAUCUGUGACACCAGACACUGACAACCUGCCCCCUGUCUCCAAACCAAUAUCUGUUGAAAUAAAAGAUCCUACAAUGGAGACAUUACAAGAUACUCUAAAUAACUCGUUUUCAUUACCUGUUACUGACCGACCUAAUGAGGGCAAUCUGAACAACAGUGCUGACUUGGAAGAAAAGCUGCAUUGUGGAAAGCAUGAGUUGAAGCAUGUUGAGCCAGAUGGGGAUGAUAGCAAGAAAGUAAGUGAUACAGAAGUUGGCCAGAGCAAGAAAGAAGAGGAAAUUGCCCAGUCAAAGGGUGUGAAUGCAUAUGCUCAUACUCAUGGGGAGGGUAAGAGAAGCAGGGAUGAUAAGGGGUUGCGGAUGUUCAAAUUUGCUCUUGUGGAAUACGUGAAGGAUAUAUUGAAGCCCACCUGGAAAGAAGGUCGUCUGACUAAAGAAGCUCACAAAACCAUAGUGAAGAAAGUCAUUGAAAAAGUGACCAGUACCUUGCAGGACCCUAAUAUCCCUUGGACACAAGAAAGAAUUGAUAUGUAUUUGUCAUACUCUAAAGUGAAGCUCAACAAUCUUGUACAGGUUCUUAUUUAGGGCUUUAAUUUUUGUGUCUUUUUUCUGGAACUCUGCUUGAAUACUUUGACAGAAAGGCUUGGCUAAUACUUUUUCACUCUUUAUGACUGCAGGCAUAUGUACAAAAAUAUGGGAAGAGCUGAGCCAAUGCUUGACAGCCCUUAUGCUUAUUAUCUGCUCAUUCUAUAUCAAUAUGAUAACCCUUUUCCCCACCUCCAGUUUUGGAUUUUUGUAAAUCAGAGAUUAUUUUUGGGAGCAUUUUGUUGUUUAUCUUACAGGAUAGUGCGGUCCUUCGUUUCUGGUAUGUAACAGAAAUCUGCUGAUGCAGCCUAUAUUUCAGUCAUGCUACUUUGGAUGUUUAUUGCUGCUUGAAUCGUUAGAUUUCAACAGAUGAUAGCAUUCUGGACAGGUUAAGUUUACAGCUUGUUACCUGGCACUGGGUGUUUGGUUUGAGAUGCUUCCAAUACACCAUGUUGUAAUUGGUUGUUGCUUCUAUCUACAUUCUAGCCCAUGAUUGGUUGAUAUUUCCUUCAUGGAAUAUCAGAAAUAUGCUUUAGUUUAUUGGAGUUCUUUCUCCCUCAUUACAGUCUUUUGGAAUAUCAAACUGCCUGGUCAUCAAGAAGGUGCUAUUGGUUUUGUAUUGUUUGAUAUAUUUCUCAUUGUUAGCAGCUCGUUUUUGUAGAUCAGGUUUUGAUUUUCUAUUACACGAGUCAAACAAUCAACAAUUUUUCAAGUCAUCAAGGGAAAAGUGUUCAUCUAUAAUCCUCCAUCCCAAAGUGUCUGAAUGGUAAAUAUUCUUCAGGAUUCAUGAGGCUUCGCAAUUACGCCUCUCUUUUCCCGUGGAUUUUCGCUGUAAUUCUGCAUCAAAACUAUUCUUCCCAGGCUAUGGUCGACAAAGAUUCUCUUGCAUAUCAGUGGAGCAGUUUGCCCAGUACUUUGAGACAUCCGCAAGCGAUGGCAAUCCUUCCCUUAUGAUCUUAAUGUAGCAUUGGGCAAGUGUGCUUCUUGGGGUUUCAAAUGGAAGUAGCAUCUGAUAUAUUGCAGAGUACAUCUACCCGCAAUUGAGGGGCAAUAUCAUCUUUUCCGUUACACCUAAAUAUCCUUUAAGGGCGCACUGCGGAAUUCAAAAAAGACAUUUUAAAAAAAAUUAAAUUACAAAAAUUUCUCUAAUUUUUUUGAUUANNNNNNNNNNNNNNNNNNNNNNNNNNNNNNNNNNNNNNNNNNNNNNNNNNNNNNNNNNNNNNNNNNNNNNNNNNNNNNNNNNNNNNNNNNNNNNNNNNNNNNNNNNNNNNNNNNNNNNNNNNNNNNNNNNNNNNNNNNNNNNNNNNNNNNNNNNNNNNNNNNNNNNNNNNNNNNNNNNNNNNNNNNNNNNNNNNNNNNNNNNNNNNNNNNNNNNNNNNNNNNNNNNNNNNNNNNNNNNNNNNNNNNNNNNNNNNNNNNNNNNNNNNNNNNNNNNNNNNNNNNNNNNNNNNNNNNNNNNNNNNNNNNNNNNNNNNNNNNNNNNNNNNNNNNNNNNNNNNNNNNNNNNNNNNNNNNNNNNNNNNNNNNNNNNNNNNNNNNNNNNNNNNNNNNNNNNNNNNNNNNNNNNNNNNNNNNNNNNNNNNNNNNNNNNNNNNNNNNNNNNNNNNNNNNNNNNNNNNNNNNNNNNNNNNNNNNNNNNNNNNNNNNNNNNNNNNNNNNNNNNNNNNNNNNNNNNNNNNNNNNNNNNNNNNNNNNNNNNNNNNNNNNNNNNNNNNNNNNNNNNNNNNNNNNNNNNNNNNNNNNNNNNNNNNNNNNNNNNNNNNNNNNNNNNNNNNNNNNNNNNNNNNNNNNNNNNNNNNNNNNNNNNNNNNNNNNNNNNNNNNNNNNNNNNNNNNNNNNNNNNNNNNNNNNNNNNNNNNNNNNNNNNNNNNNNNNNNNNNNNNNNNNNNNNNNNNNNNNNNNNNNNNNNNNNNNNNNNNNNNNNNNNNNNNNNNNNNNNNNNNNNNNNNNNNNNNNNNNNNNNNNNNNNNNNNNNNNNNNNNNNNNNNNNNNNNNNNNNNNNNNNNNNNNNNNNNNNNNNNNNNNNNNNNNNNNNNNNNNNNNNNNNNNNNNNNNNNNNNNNNNNNNNNNNNNNNNNNNNNNNNNNNNNNNNNNNNNNNNNNNNNNNNNNNNNNNNNNNNNNNNNNNNNNNNNNNNNNNNNNNNNNNNNNNNNNNNNNNNNNNNNNNNNNNNNNNNNNNNNNNNNNNNNNNNNNNNNNNNNNNNNNNNNNNNNNNNNNNNNNNNNNNNNNNNNNNNNNNNNNNNNNNNNNNNNNNNNNNNNNNNNNNNNNNNNNNNNNNNNNNNNNNNNNNNNNNNNNNNNNNNNNNNNNNNNNNNNNNNNNNNNNNNNNNNNNNNNNNNNNNNNNNNNNNNNNNNNNNNNNNNNNNNNNNNNNNNNNNNNNNNNNNNNNNNNNNNNNNNNNNNNNNNNNNNNNNNNNNNNNNNNNNNNNNNNNNNNNNNNNNNNNNNNNNNNNNNNNNNNNNNNNNNNNNNNNNNNNNNNNNNNNNNNNNNNNNNNNNNNNNNNNNNNNNNNNNNNNNNNNNNNNNNNNNNNNNNNNNNNNNNNNNNNNNNNNNNNNNNNNNNNNNNNNNNNNNNNNNNNNNNNNNNNNNNNNNNNNNNNNNNNNNNNNNNNNNNNNNNNNNNNNNNNNNNNNNNNNNNNNNNNNNNNNNNNNNNNNNNNNNNNNNNNNNNNNNNNNNNNNNNNNNNNNNNNNNNNNNNNNNNNNNNNNNNNNNNNNNNNNNNNNNNNNNNNNNNNNNNNNNNNNNNNNNNNNNNNNNNNNNNNNNNNNNNNNNNNNNNNNNNNNNNNNNNNNNNNNNNNNNNNNNNNNNNNNNNNNNNNNNNNNNNNNNNNNNNNNNNNNNNNNNNNNNNNNAGCAGGUUAAAUUGCUUUUGAGUGGAAAAAAGAGUAAAUAGAGGAUAUACAUAAUUUUUUAUAUUUUUAAAUGAAAAGUAUGUGAACGAAAAUUAUUUUGAUUAUUUUUAAAAUUUUUCAGAUGUAGCAUUUAGAUUCUAUUUAAAAUUAACAAUUUGAUUAAUAUUUUAUUAAAUUAUAGAAUAAAAUGUUGGAUAAAAAUAAAGUAUGGCUUUGUAAUUUACUUAAAAGAGAGAGACGAGAGGGAAGUGCUCGCCUGGGGUCCUCAUGAGAUGAGUUCCCGAUCUUUUUCUUGGAUGAAAAUAUCCUGAGACGAAAGCGAGGAAAAAUAAUUUAAUCAGGAAAAUGGAGCUACGAUUGAUGUUAAUGGCGGUUCUGCUCUUCAUCUCGUCGGUAGGUACUGGAAUUGGAGAUGGAAUAGGUGAGGAUUACGUCCGGCCCAAGCCCCGGAAAGCCCUAACCUUUCCAUGGAAGCGGAGGCAGUCUUCGGAGCCCCAACAGGUGAGUGCUUGAUCCCCUUCCGCGGAUAAUUUAAGAGAAGUUUGCUUGUUUGAGGUUUGGAUCUUGGUCUGAUCCUAUUCUGGAAUGUCACUCGUCGGAUCUGUUGCUCUCGUUGUUUCUAAUUUGCGGCAUCAGGUCGCUGCCUGAUGGUUUUAGCGUGUUUUUUUUGCUUUUUCUGGCUCCUUUUAAAAUGUUCCGAUGAAACCCAAAUCGAUUCUGCUGCUGUUAAUCCAGAAACUGCUUUAAAACUCGAAAUUUCCAGUCUUCCACUGUACCGAGUGCCGAUUUUUAUUUAUUUAUUUAUUUUUUUUACGAUGGGAAUAUCUCGGCAGAAAACCAAGUUAAUUUCGGUGGCAAUUUGUUCAGAAAGUACUCGGUGUAAGCCGUCAAGCUACCCAAAUGGUCAUUCCUUAGUUGUUGGUCUCUGUGCUGGGAUCUGAUCGCAUUUUUUUGGAGAUUUAGGUAAUGUUAAAAUCAUAUGAUUGAUUAGGAUCAUGAUUGAUUUGUGAUUGAUUGUGCCAAACUUAGUUGGCCUUGCCUAAUUUCACCUUGAUUGAUUUGUGAUUAAUUAUGCCAAACUUAGUCGGCCUUACCAAACUUUGUUAGCCUCAUAAAGGCUGCUCCUGUACAUUAUAACAGAUGGGGGCAGAAAUACAAUUAUUUUCUCUUAUUCUUUUUUUUCAACAGGUAACAUAUUCAGUUGCAGGUGAAGCAUUGAGACUGAGUGGUUGCUGAAGUCAUCUUGUCUAUUUAGCUUCUCAAUUUGACAUGGCUACCUCUUGCUAUUUUAACUGUGAUUCCCAUGUUCAUGCUAAAUUCACUGAAAAUGAAUAUCAUUUUAGCAAGGAGUAGUGUGAUGUUGUCUAUGGGUUUAGCAUCCCAUUGUAAAACCCCCCCCCCCCCNNNNNNNNNNNNNNNNNNNNAAAAAAAAACCCCAAAAAAAACUUGCAUCUGCUUCACAAAUUGAUAAAAUCUAAAGGGUUAAUAAGUGUAAUGCCGUAUGUCUUACUUUUCAAGUUGGGAAUAUGCAUGAAUGUGCAUGGUUGCUAUACUUAAGCAUGAUAUAAGGUAAUGCCCUUGACUUUUGUGCACCGAACCUAAUUAUUAUUAUUAUUAUUUUCUGAAAACAGGCCACAGAAUCUAUAUAAGGUUUGAGGAUAUCAAUGUGCUAAGCUCCAUCAAUAUGAUCUCCUGGAUUGUGCAUUUCAUUCAUUUUGUGUUUUAUGUUAGAAAAAAAGGGAAAGUAAUCAUGUUUUCAGUAGGAUCAAAAUGUCCUUUUCAAUUCUCUUAAAAUCAUUCAACUGUCAGAUUGUCUUGGAGAAAAAUGUUAUUUCAACAGCAAUCCUUUUCUUUUUAUUUUUGCAGGUUCACAUUUCUUUGGCUGGGGAAAAACACAUGAGAAUAUCAUGGAUCACUGAUGAUGAAUCUUCUCCUUCUAUUGUUAAAUAUGGAACUUCACCUGGAGAGUAUGCAUAUUCUUCUCAAGGAGAAAGCACAUCCUACAAUUACUUAUUCUAUAGUUCAGGGAAGAUACACCAUGUUGUCAUUGGACCUCUUGAAGAUGGCACAGUUUAUUAUUAUCAGUGUGGAGGACAAGAUCCAGAAUUCUAUCUUAAGACCCCACCCUCUCAAUUUCCAAUAACUUUUGCUGUAGUUGGCGAUCUUGGUCAGACAGGGUGGACAACAGCAACUUUAGACCACAUUGCUCAGUGCAAGUAUGAUGUGCAACUUGUUCCAGGGGAUCUCUCAUAUGCUGAUUACCAGCAGCAUCUGUGGGAUUCUUUUGGUGAACUGCUGCAGCCACUUGCUAGUGCUAGACCAUGGAUGGUAACAGAAGGAAAUCAUGAGAAGGAGAAAAUAUUAUUGUUUGAAGCUGGAUUUCAAGCAUAUAAUGCCCGGUGGAAGAUGCCUUAUGCAGAGAGUGGAUCCGCAUCAAACCUGUAUUACUCUUUUGAAGUAGCAGGAGUUCAUGUUAUUAUGCUUGGUUCUUAUACAGAGUAUGAUAAGAACUCAGAUCAGUAUGCCUGGCUUAAGGUUAGUCUAUUUUGUUGUUUCUUUAAAGCUUAUCUAUCCUUCUUAGUUAACUUUUCUCAUGGUAGUUUCAUUUCUAGUGGCAGCCUGGGAAACGUGGACAGUUGAAAGCAAGUUUGCCAAUUCUUUGGAACAAAGAUCAAACCAACUUUAGAGAAUGACCAUGUAAUUUAGGCAUGAACAUAUAACUCGUCAUUGGAAUUAAAGUUUGAAAAUAUAAUAGCAUCUGUCUCCCUUCUCCCUCAGUUUCUGGCAAUAGUGUACUAAGGGCAUAAUCUUUCAUAAGAAUUAGCUAAAAGGAUUUUUGAUUCCUCAUCUUAUGGCUUAUAUGCUGAAACUAUCGUUUCAAUUAAGCUCUAUCUGAAAAUUAAAAAGCUACUAUAUUCCAUUUUAUCCAGAGUGCAUGUUUCCCCCAGUAAAUACUUCCUUGCCCCAGAAUCAAUAUCCUUACUUCACCUUGUGGAACAAUUAGUUUUUCUUUGGUUUUAUCAGAUUUAGGACUUGAAUUUCCUUUUUAAAAAAUUAUUUUUGCCUUUCUAUGAUUUUUCCUAAUUCAACUGCAUAGAAAUUCAAAGAAAAGAAAAUGAUCUAGUAUUUUAAUUUGGAUGAAGAGAGCAUCCAUUUGUAUUUGAUGUUACAGGCUGAUCUUGCUAAGGUAGACAGAGAAAAGACACCAUGGUUGCUCGUGUUAUUGCAUGCACCAUGGUAUAACAGCAACUGGGCUCAUCAAGGUGAAGGGGAUGGCAUGAUGGCUGCAAUCGAACCAUUGCUUUAUGCUGCUGGCGUAGAUAUUCUUCUUGCUGGACAUGUGCAUGCAUAUGAACGUUCGGUAUGCAUGACUGGUGACUCUUUACCUCACUCAUGUUCAAACUAAAAGUCUCUCCUUGCACUUCACACUUUCAGGAACGUGUUUACAAUGGCGGCUUAGACCCUUGCGGAGCUGUACACAUAACGAUUGGAGAUGGAGGUAACAGGGAGGGUCUGGCUCAAAGGUACAUCAUUUCCUCUAGCAUGGCGCAUAUGCUUAAUUGCAUUUCUAGAACUUGCAACCUUCGUAUUUAUGCUGCAAUUACCGAGCAUUUCAAAAUAUAUCUUCUGCAGUAUAGUUACUGAAUUCCUUUGAGCUCAUCAGGUAUCUUCACCCAAAGCCGGAGUGGUCAGCUUUCCGUGAAGCAAGUUUCGGUCAUGGUGAGCUGAAGAUCAUAAAUUCAACCCAUGCUUUUUGGAGUUGGCACAGGAACGAUGAUGAUGAAAUGGUAAAAUCAGAUCGAGUCUGGAUCACCUCAUUAGCAAGUUCUGGAUGCUUUGCCGAUACGAAGCCGGAGCACAGGAGGAUUCUGAUGGCUCCUUAAGUCAGGAACUUGAAGCAAUUCCACCCCAAGGAUCUGCUAUCCCAGAUAAUGUAUAGUCAUAUAAAUAUGAUGUGCCUGGUGUUCUGCAACAUGAUGAGAUGCCUGAGGAAAGGGGUUUCAGCUAACUCAACAAGGAUUAUGUCCCAGAAGCGCUUCCGGCACCAGUAAGUCCUACCAAAUAUCAUUUGUAGUUCCAGCACUAACAUGUACAAAGCCCUUUGACUUGAUGCUGAUGGGAGUAUGAAAUGCAGCAGUAGCGGGGUUGGAGCCUGUACUUGUUUGCAUAAGCUCUAAUUUCUUAGCUAAUGCAAGAACUCUCAGAGUUAGAUGCAGCAGAGAAGAAACUAAAAUAUUGAAAAUAGAAAUUUUGGUUAUCCCAUUGCAGAACCAAGAAACGAAAUCAUCUUGUGAUUUCAAAAAUCAUGGAAGGUCAUUAUUGUGACAAUUUUGUCCUGCAUCGAGACAGAGAUGAGCAUCUUCCCCGAACCCAAAUGGAGAUAACAAUACAACCUGCUUAGUGAUCUGUAGCCCAGGAACUAGGACAACAUCAUCCUUUAUAUUCGUUUCCAAAACUGAACCAUUGGUUGUUUGGGAUGAUAGAAAAUAUGGGGUGACAGAAGAUAUUCUGAGUUCAGCUUUCUCAGAAGGAUUACAAAGAUUGCUGCCUUCGCCGUUGGUGUAACAAUCAAGAACCCUGCGCAUAAAUCAUCAUUAACAACAAUCUGAGUUGCCAAAAAAAGUUCUAACUUCCCCCUGAUCCCAUCUUCUCCUGGCAGUUCUUUGAUCAGAGAUGGCCUGCAUUCUCGAUCAGAUUCCAGUAGGCCAAUCAAAAAACUGGGCAUGGAAAUUUACAUCGGUAACAGGGAUCAUAGCAAGGUUUUUAAGCUUUAAUUUGGCAAUUUUAGCAAUUGUAGAGGAAUGGAGAGGAUGAUUCUUCUUCAGGCUAUGCUAGAGGAUCGCGAUAAUGAUUAGAGUUAGGAAUGGGGGCAAAGGCUAGUGGAUUUUCAGUAGUUAAGGCUAAAGGGCCUCCAUGAAGGCCCCUGGGGAUGGGGUUAGGGCUUGAGGAAGGCAAUGGAUAUUUGGAUGGAAUAGGGAUAGAGGAAGGAGAGAGAGGGCUGCUGUCUGCCGGAAGAUUGGUCCCCAUCUGGAAUCGGCCAGCAUGGGCGCGUUUCACGCUAUAACGAAACCCUAAUUUGGAGCAAUUAGGGGCAAAAUCUUUAUAAGGUGAUAAAAAAAUCCUAGAAUUUAGGGGUGACUUCGGUACUAGAGAAACCGGCUGUUGGAUUAGUGGGACUGUCGUAAAAAAAAUCCUACAUCAUAGUAUUAUUACAUCCAUCAGGUGGAAGAAUUCUGAUAAUGGUUUAAUAGUGAUUGAUAAGGUCAUACAUAUCAGAAGACCGUUCAAGAGCACAAUUGAGUCCUAGUUGUCGGAUAAUGCAAGGAUCAACUACAACAAAAUUCGUAUGUGGGAAGCACUUGAUUGAUCUAAUAUAAUGAAAUAAUUGAUAUACAGGAUUUGAUCCUAUCAAUCAAUUAUGCAUUUAAAAUUUUAGUUUUUAUAUCUGCAAUUUUCUUGAACAAUAGUUUUUUAUAUGUGCAAUUGAUAAAUAAGUUCUUGUAAAUUGCUGAUUUAUCCUAUUUUUCUAAUUAAGAGCAAAUAUAAAAAGAAGUGCAUAUAUUAGCAAGGUUUAUUCAACAAAUAUCCUUUUCUACUGCACCAUCAAGUUGCACGCCAUGGGGCAAUUACUUUAUCCUAUAUUAUUGCACUGCACAUACUAAAAAUAUAGAUGCAUAGGGUCAAUCCAUUCAAGUGUUCUCUUGAUUCUUACGAACUAAAUUAUUUUUGUACACUAUUUAUCUUAGCUAAGCCCAUUUAUUUAAUUUUUUGAUUUAGACUGAUCACCAGACUCAAUCUAGGCCACUUUAGUUCAGGAGUGAGAUUUGCCAUAUUAGAAAGUUGAAUCAUGUAUCAAACUUCUAGAGGCCAUAAUUUGGCAAUACGGCACCGAAUUGAGAUAUUUUUUUCCAAAAAAAAUUGUAUAACUUUUCGAGAUCUGCAACAUAGUAGCAAUCAGAGCCAUAGUUCAUCUUUUGGAUCUUGAAACGAGUCAAUCAAAUUUUAAAUUUUCCUUUUGGAAAAAAAUUUAAUGAGUAUAUUUUCCAAUCCAAGAAGAAUUAGGCAGAACAAAGGCUAAGUUGAUGCAUAACUCGAGAUCUACCUUCUACAGGAUUUUAGCUUUUUCGUAUUACUUUCACUAGUUGUGUCUAUUUUUGAAAACUGAAUCUUAUUCAAACUAAAAAUAGAAAUAAAAUAUGAAUUGUGCAAAAGCGAACCUCACUAAUAUUAUAUGGAGCUAUGUAUCUCAAUUUAUGAUUCAUCAAUAAAUCAAAGAAAGAAAAGAAGACUUAGACCUUACGUUCGUCAAAUUCUGUAUUUUUCCUAAAUCCAAUCGAAUCAAUUUUUUUGAAAAAAUAAAGAGCUUGCAAAAGUUCUAUUCCAUUUUCUCCAUGGGUAAAGAAGUAAUAUGUUCCCAUGGUACAUUCUUAAUUACCAAUUCUCCUAAGAUAUAUCAAUAUAUAUAUACUCAUAAAUAUUAUAUUUAUUUAUUUAUUUAUUUAUUUAUUUAUUUAUAUAUAUAGAUAUGUAUGUAUAUAUAUACCUCAAUUGAAGUUUACUUUUAUCAGAUUAAUUUGAUCAUGUGCAGCCAUGCUAACGAAAAUUGGAUGGUUCUAUCCUUCUAUGAAUUACAACCAUCUCUUUGUAGAGUUUAAUUGUUGAUAUAUGUUUCUUGAAUUUAUAAAGAAUUGUGUAGCUUGCAGAUUGGAAGAUGAAAUCAAGAAGAGAAUAUUGGCUAUCACCAUGAAUUCGGAUUCUCUCAAGUUCGGGGACUAUCUCUGAACAUGAUGGUAUGGUUCUACCAUCAUGGCUGUCAAUGAAUUACAUAACGAAGAGAUGGAAUGGUAGCACUUUCAAUACAUGGAACUCGAUACAUUACGGCAGUAGUGCAAUACAUGGACGGUCAUGGUUGGAAAAUGGACCAUCAAGUCUAGUCCUCCAACUUGAAGAGAAUCCAAACUCUAUCACAAUAGAGGCAUGAGAAAUGCUGUUUGAUUCAUGAUGUCUAGCAUGGUCAUGUUGUAAGCGACAGCCUAUAUACACUUUUGGAAGCCGGACCGUCAAGUUUGUGCCCAAACUUUAGAGCUCGAACUCUCACAACUGAGACAUGAGCAAACGAGGUUUGAUUCAUAAUCAUGUUGUUGGCCUCGAAACACUUUACUUUUUGUAUAUUUAUAAUAUAUAUAGUUAAAAAUAACAAUGAACUUUUCUAUGAUUUUUUUUUAAAAAUAAAAUUACUAAUUGAGACAUCUCCAGAAUAAAAGGUUUAAAUUUGUCUUUCCUGGAAUCCCAUCACUCAUCUGAUACCAGUGAUAUUUGAGGCCUGGGGCACUUUUAUUUUAUAUUUUUUUCCCUUAAAGAUGGUGGUGCUUAAAAGGGGAAAAAGUUGUAAAAAAAGUAUAGGCGCUUGUGAGUGAUAAAAAGAUUUCCAGUCAAGGUUUAGAUGAUAUUUUUAUCCGGAAAAAAACAGGAAAAAAAGUCUUCGCCGGCUACUGUGUCUGGUCUCCACCGUCCACCACCGUUUCAUAUUGAUAGUUUCUAGAAAUCAGUUUACCUAACAUUCAGAGCUUUUUUUUUCAAAGUUUUAGCCGUCAAUACAAAUACCAUUUUUUUUCCUUUUAAUAUGAUUAUAUUGAAAGGUUGCAACCAUGAACCACAUCUUUGCAGACUUUCCAUCUCAUGCAAUCUUGAAGCCAACUUUGACGGCUAUAUGGUUGGGAGCGACAGUAGGAAUAGAGUAGGAUUUGUGAUUAAACGCCUAAAUUUUAAGUUUGUAGUUGCGGGCAGAAGUUAGAUAUUUAAUAUCUCAAUUUUUAAGCAGGGCUGACGGUGACUUGGACAUGUAUUACCUACUGAUAAUAAAUUUUGAGGGCUGACCUCGUAGCUGUUGAGGGUGGUUUAGCCAUCGUGAUUAGGUUGAUUCAGAGUCAGAGAGGAUCAAUAGAUGCACAACCUUUUCUACACCGUAUGCGAAGGAUUUCGAAAGAGCAUGUAUCUUUGAGCCCUAAGCAUGAUUACCUAGAGGGUUACAGAUUGGGUUGCCUCUUGCAUAGCCGAAUAUUUUGAAAAAAAAAAACUGUUGUUGGGGUUGACCUUUGGAUUAUUUUAUUUUCUAAUUUUAUUAUAUUUAUUCAUGCGACAUAGGUAUGAAUAUGAUCCAUCUAUUUUAUGAAAAAAAAUGUUUUACUAUCAUACUAUCAUCAGGAAUCAAAGCUCCGUCCUGAUCAAAAUUUGACAGCUCUGAUGUGAUGACUUCGUUCCUCUCUACGGCCCUGGCGAGUGGAGGCCACACUUUCCCCAGCCGUGCCGUUCUCUCCUAGACCUCGUCCCACCGCUAACUCCCGUUUCUUUCAUUCCUUUCUCUUUUCUUUUCCCUAAGACAACCCUUAGGAGAUCGCCAAAGACUCCUCUCUCUUCUUUCCUUUGCUCUCGGGAAGACAGCUGAAGUUGAAGCUGAAGCUUUGUUGUUGGGGACUUCGCAGAGGAGACGAGGAGAUGCACGACUUCUGCUUCACGAUCCCGUACGGGCUCCUGAUCCUGGUGGGAGGGCUCGUGGGCUACGCGCGGAGGGGGAGCACCGCCUCGCUGGCCGGCGGCGCUGGCUCCGGCCUCCUCCUCCUCCUCGCCGGCUUCGUCAGCCUCAAGGCCUUCGAGAAGCGCCGCAACUCCUCCCUCGCCCUGAUCCUUGAGACAGGUGUGCAACUACUCUCAAUUGAUUCGUCCAGCCUUUUACAAUCUCCUCGAUCCGUUUCCCUUCGUUUGAUUUCUUUUGGCUAUCGGAUUCUAUUGCAUUUUUUUGUUGAUAUCUAUGCUAUAGAUAUAUUUUUUAUUUUGCUGACUUAUGUUUACUUCGUAUUGAGGAAGCGAUCGAUCAAUAGAUUUGUGAGCCAAAUAAUAGAUGGUUCUCUAUUUUCUUCUAUCUCCUUCUUUAUUCUGUUCAAAAUAUGAUAAAUGGCAAGGUCUAGUUACAGUGCAAUUGGUCUACGAAAUUAGGACUCACUGUUUUCCUUUUUAUAACAACUUUUCUCUAAUAUAGCAGCUUUUCGUAAUAAAGAAUGGAUGAUGUUUCUAAGGAGUCAUAUGCUCAAGGAGGAAAUAGAAGCUAUCAUGUGAAGUUUAGAUUGAUUCAUAUGACUUGAAAGUUCUCGUCUGCGUGUCUAAUUGAGCUAUCUUAAUACUAUCUUAUAAGUUUUUUUUUAAUUCAGAAAGGAAAGUUUAGCAUAUUUAUGAGAGAUGUUGGCUAGGUGAUGUGUUUUGCAAUUCAGGUGGUAGGUCACAGUUUCUGGAUUAAGUUGUUUAUUAUAAGUAAAGCACUGACAUUUUAAUACAUGCUACUUCUCCAGUUUACUAGCUACUUCCUAGUUCAUUUUUAUCUCCUCUGAUAACCACUAAGGAGGUGAUUUUAUGUCAUACGGAUGAUUGGAGGUGGGAAUUCAUUUGGUCAUUAAGAGUGAAGAUUUUAACCCUUUCUUGAUUUAAUAAUGCAAUUUCUGUUCUCUGGCAAGCAAGGGAAGGAUAGGAGACACAAAGUGUGAAAUUGCAAUCUAAAAGGUAGUUUAGUGGGAAGUGUUAGUGCUGGUUGCAAUGGUGCAGACUUAUCAAUGAUAAUUUAUGGAAUACUAAUUGAAGUUUUAUCUAGAUACAAUUGACUUUUGGAUAGAUCUCUAGAGGGCAUUUUUUAAAAAGGGCGAUAUAAAAAAACUAAGAGGGUCUUGUAUCACUUAAGUGGAGGCUGCUUCGUGUUUAUCUUGAGUGGCAUAAAAGGGUAAAAGUGAUGACAGGGUUGAAAAUCCCAAAACUUUGUGCGGAUGCAUGACCAUAGUCAUGACGAAAUGGAGAUUUCCAGCAUCGAAGGCUUUAUAAUAGCCAGAAAACUCACAUUAUCACUGUACCUGAAUCAAUUUCUAUGUGUUAACUUGAGCAAUUGCUGAUCCUGGAUUCUGGUUAAUCCCUAGUAUACAUAUCUGAAGCCUUGGACUAUGGGUGGUCACAUUAAUAUAAAGAGGACAGUUUUAAAUAGAUAAUGCUUUUUCCCCAUUUUUCAUAGGCACAUUGUCAAUGGAAAUGAUUCUAUAUAUUGAUAGUUACAAUAUUGCAUCACUUUUGACUUUGAUUGUGAAUCUACGAACUCUAUUUGAGAAUUGUUUGUUGGCUUCCUAAGUUUGCAGUAGCAUAGAUACUAUUAUGUUGCCACUUUUGCUUUAGGAUCUCUCUUCCAGCCAACAGUAGAUAAUUGCUCUGAAAAUCUGAAAAUUGUGAUGCACAUUGGUGCUCACUGCAUAUGGUAUCCAUGUUGAGUUGAUUUUGCAGUCGGAAUUUUGGAACAAAUAUCUUGCUAAUAGAGCCAAGGUCUUCAUUUUAAGCUUCAGUUAGACCAAGUCUCCAGUAUAUGUGGCUCAAAAUUUGACAAAGAUUGUAGCUUCCUUAGGAUCCAUCUUUGUAACCAUAGUAGGAUCAAAGGCUUCUGUAAUUUGAAAAGACUUGAAACAUGUAAUGAUUGUCAUUGUAUUCUGUGUUUCUUCUUCAUUCAAACUACUGAAAAUGAAUACCACUUUGUCAAAAGACUUGGGAUACACCGAACUUGAAACUAGUAGCUGGAGAUCCUGUUUACAUUUAUUCAGCAUCAUCCCUCCAACUUCCAAAAGAGAUGAUGUCAUGUGAACAGGACUUGGCUAACAACUGUUAGCAGAGUUGGUUGGCACCUUUCCCAUAGAGGCUUGCCCUUCAGGAGGUCCGGGGUCAAAUCCUUGGUAUUGCUAAAAAAAAAACCAGCGAACAUGACUUAAAUCUGAUGGUGGGCACCCCUCGUCUAAAGAUUUGCUCUUGGGGGAGGUUCAGUAUUCCAACAAUGGUGGUGGCACAUUACUGCCAUCUCUCUCUCUCUCUCUCUCUCUCUCUCGGUGCGGUGAUAGCUCUAUGUAACUUUUAUAUUACAAAGUAUUCAAAUAUUUUGUUUUUGUUAUUCUCAGUAGCAUCUGAACUAGGAAUUAGAUAAUCUUGCUUAAUUUAAGAGUUCAUUGAACAACCUUGAAAAGUAGUAACAUAGCUGUCUUACUUUUCACUCUGAACUGACAAAAGCAUUUCCUUCAGAUGUCAGAAGCAUUCUUUUAAUGUCAAUGAGAGCACUUGAUUGGAAAAAACAACAAGAAGUUAUAUUUUUGCUUUUCCUUUUUAAUCUUGUUUUAAAUGCUCUGGUUGUUAUAAUUUUUUUUCUGUUAAUUUUUGAUAAUUGCCUUCUUGGACUAAUAUUGACUGACUCAUCUAAUUUGUUGGUGGUACUAAAUCAAGAAAAAGAACUUUAUUACUUAUUUUUCUUUUUUCCCCAUCUACUUACUAUUUUCUCCUUUCCAUUGUUUGACAUUAUCUUCUUUCUACUGUCUGCAACACAGUUUGUGCCCUUAUAUUAGCAUAUGUUAUGGGGCAAAGAUACCUUGAAACAUUCAAGAUAAUGCCAGCUGGGGUAGUUGCUGCUCUCAGGUUUGCCCAGUUGAAUAUCUAGUCAAUUUGCUAUUGAUAUCCAUCAUAUUUUGCAUGUUAGUUUCUAUCCUCAAUUAUUGGUUUUCACUAAACUGUUCCAUAAUCAGGUGUCUCAUAGGUGCUAUCCACUGGUCGGGCUCUGCUACCACUUAUUUGAAUAAUUAUAUACGUAUGCACACGUGCACAUAUUGGCUAACGGAUUAUAUCCUCUAUCACUGUCCUCCUCGAGCCAUGGGGAAGUGCUCCAUCUGCUUUCUGCACCUUAUUCUUUGAUGUCCUUUUGUUCUUUUCCAAGGAUUGCUUUGAAAGAGGGGGCGGGCCAGCUGUGAUGCUCUUUUCCUCUCCAAAAAAAGCAAAGGAGGAGGGAGCCGGCUAGACAUCGAUAUAUGGGAAACAUACAUUGACAUAAAAAAAAAAUCCAUAGGGAAUUACUGAGAUUUAGAUUCUCAAGCUACGUAUGCACGGGGUUUCUCUUUGAAAAUUGAUUAUUGAAUAUUUCAUACUAGGCAGAGAAUAUAUGGCUGUUGACGGUAUUGUCAUUGUAAAGGUUGGUGUCAAAUAGAAGUUUUGGAGGUGCAUUUUGGUUAACAUAAUAAUGUAGGAGUCUUCUGUAAUUAAAAAUAUAUAUGGAGAAUAUGGUCAAAUAAAAAAUAAUGUCUUUUUACACAGACAUGCUCCAAUAAACAUCAAAUGGUGAAACAUCUUAGGACUUUCCUAGCAACUUAAGAUUUAAGUUUGGUGUUUUCUCAAGAAAACAAUUUGUGCUUCGUGUCAACCCCCUCACUGUCUCAGUGUUGAGAUGGUAACUUAGAAGUUACUAACUAGAAUUAAUGGUCUUGUUGAAUCCAUAUAAGGAGCUGCAAAAGUUUGAUGUGGAGUAAACUAGAAUCUUUUUCCUUUGUCUUUUUAGUUUUCCUUCCUUCGUAUGCUGGUUCUUUCUUUCUUUUUUCUUGGUUAACGGGAAACCAAUAAAACAAAUACUGCAGGAUCUGUUGAAACAUUAUAGUUAAUGGUUGACAUUCACUGAUUCAACCAAUAAAAUCUUGUUCUAAGAAACUAAUGAUUCUACAAAUUUAAAACUAUCCUGAUAUGCUACUGUGAAACUGGAACAUAAAUUAAUGUAUCCCUACUUCUUAACUUUGGGCAAGCUUACCCUUUCCUGGCAUCAAACUAAAUUAAACUUGACAUCAAACUACAGUACUACAGAAAUUGAUUCAUGUACCUGACACUAAUGAAGAAGUCAAAAUUAAGCAGAAUUUUGUUUGAAAUUCUUUUCCUGUGAGCUAAGAAAUGGCAACCAGUUUUCAUGGAGCAAGCCUACUUGUUCGUCUCCACACUUUAAUUUACUGUUGGCCUUCUCCUGACAGGUGUAUCUUUUGCUUCAUAAACUUUUGGAGAAGCAUGAAAAAUAUAGUUUUUUUGAAGGGUUAUUUGUUCUCCUUUUUUUUCUGUUAGCAUCAUGUGAUCAUGCUUUAUGUUUCAUGUUGUGUUAAUAACACAAUUUGUCGCAUUUAUAUGUCACAUCCUGAACAUUGUGUUCCCUUGCAGUGCACUUAUGUCUGGAUUCUACCUUUACAAGAUUGCAACUGGUGGCAACCAUAUCCCAUCCAAGGCAGAGUAAACUUGUCAGUUGAAAUUUCAAACCAACAACGUGCUUUAGGGAAAGUAACAUGUAACGUGAAUUAGGUUCUUGGUUUGUAAGUUUUCUCAGUUGUAUUCCUUGCUGAAGGAUAGUCAUAUCUUAACGGCAUGCAUACUUUAAAAAGCAUGUGCUUGGUGUUUGUCUUGAAAGAAAAUGAAAGUUCACUAAUGCAUAGGUAGUCCCAUUAGAUUGUUUAUAUUGUCAUUUUGAUGAUUACAUUAAAAUGAACAUCCUCUUAAGGUAGAUGCUGUUUUUCAUCACGACUAAAAGAAAACAGUAUGAGAUAACUUUGCCAUUUCAGUGCUUUAUUUUGCAAAGAUGUGGUCAUGGUACCAUCGAAGGCAAUCCUUCAUUGUCUCUUGAUCUCUACAACUGAUGCCUCUGCUUGUGGAAUGUCAUCCUUAUUGCAAAGGUUGCUUUCGUUGAUCUUUGGAUUCACUACUGCUUGGCUUCUUUUAGUGUUUUUUUCUCAUGCCGAUGAGAACUGCAUAAAUGCACUGUCAAAUUGCCAGCUUUUGGUCUGCCUCUCUUUCUAUGCCCAUUUUUACCCUGAAUCACAUUUUUUAUCUCUCAGUUGAGUAUGGAUGAUCUUAAGCAGGCAAUGAUUUCUGAAACCAAAGCUGGCUUUCAUUUCUUUUUUAUUUCUUUACAUUUGAAGUUGGCAUCCAUUUCUAUCUAUUCAGUGAACCUUUAAGCUUUGGACUGCAGCAAUUUAGAAAAUCCAUCUUCCAGAUGGUGAUCUUUCAGUAUCUUAUGCAAUUGUGGGAUAUUCAUUAUGAUUCCUUCAACUCAGCUGGGGGAAGGAGAUUGGGGAAGGGAGGAGGGAUUGGAGAGGCAAUGAACAUGUUCAUAGCAUCUUCCGGAUAUUGGAAGUCAUCAUAAAUGGAUUGUAUAUUUGUGAUAUUUCACAUGUUAAUGUUUUUUUAAUAGUUCAGCUUUAAUGCUGACUUUCAGUUAUUCCUUUAACAGGCAGUUCCUGCUGAUUCUUACAUUCAUGAACAGGAUUUUUCAUGAUUGUCCAUAGCUCAGCAUCAUUGGUGGUGCAGUAAAUGGCUUCUGAAUUGUUAGACCAUCCCAAGUCUGCUUGCAUUAUUUUAAUUUAAUUUGGUGCGUCCUAUGGGUUUAACAGAGCUAGCUACCUGAAAUCUAAGUCUUCACCCUUUGCACCUCACAUUUCCACCCUGCCAUGCGUCUCAUCCUUGCGAGAGUACAUAUGGCGGUGUGAUUCUUCUUGAGUACCAUGUGGUCAGUCAAAUCUUCUAGCUCAAUUUUACCAUGGCUUGCUAACUCUACCAGAGAUAACUACUCUUAGGUGAUCUAAUGCUACUAAGAGAACUGGAUUCAUUUUAUGAGAAGUGACAGUGUUGGUACUGCAUGCAUUGUAUCAUUUCUUUGCAAGUUAUGGAUGGCAGGCUUGCAAGUUUUGAACAUAUCCACUGAGCUAAUACAUAUCUUAGUUUAGAAUGUUUGAUACCAAAUUCCUAGGAACCAUGUACGACUCUCUCUUUCCCUUGUUCAUCCACGUCUUAUUGUUACUGAGCAAUCGGAAUUGGCAACUUAUUAUCUGCUGGAUAACCCAUUCAGAGUUCAGGCUCUAUUUGGUGAAACUAGCUUUGUUGAUAGAAUCCUUGAUCAUGACUUCAUUAUUUCAUUGAUUAUACAUAGCCGAUGCCCCUUGGGGCUUCUCAAUCUUUCUGGAUAAAUUUAAGGGUGUCUCUCUUGCCAGUUGGAAGGCAAACCUGGUUUCCUCGAGCUCACGGACAGGUUUGCAACUUUGUAUGACCAACCUAGAUUUUAUCCUUGUUCCUGAGGCAACUUUGUAUGACCAACCUAGAUUUUAUCCUUGUUCCUGAGGCAACUUUGUAUGACCAACCUAGAUUUUAUCCUUGUUCCUGAGGCAUCGCAAUGAGAAAUUAUACCCUAGCUCCAGUCUACCAGCUCAGCUGUAGACCAGGCCUAUAGAGGCCCACCAUAUGGAGCUACAGAAUUGAGGGUAGUAUUUUCAAAUGCCUUGUUCUAGGCACGCCUCUUCAUUUUUUUUCUUCAGUUUCUUGUAUUACUUAUUUCUAUUUUUUAAUUUACUUUGAAUUUUAUUGUAUGCAAUUAUCAGCAAUUUUAACAUAAUCUGGAAAAUAGUUUCCAAUAAUAUCAUGAACGUCAGUUAGGUAUUGCCACUGGUGCAACAGCCGGUUUCUGAGUUGCUGUGCCAUCCUAAAGUUUUAUAGUUUAAUUAGAUGUCUCCUGCAUGACACGAUUAAUAGAGGGAGUGCAUCUUAUUGUAACCGUUGGCCCUCUGCACCUCAUACUAAUCACCACCCUUACUAUGUCUCAUUUCUGUAGAACACACCUGGUGUACUGUUGCGAUGCUGCUUCAUUGCUACUUGGCUAGUCACUCUUUCCUUCAUUUUUUCCAUGGUUUACCCACGCGAUCAAUGAUCACAAUCAAGACUACUAGGUUUAUUCCAUAUUUAGGUUUGGUAUCUGCUUGGCCGCAAGAUCCAGCAGAAGAGGUUGCUGGGUUUCUAGCAAGGUGGGAUGUCAUGAUGGUGAAGGUUGUUUGUGCAUCUUCUCAUUUUUGAGAAGUUUUGGAAUGACAUGCUCGCAAAUUCCAACCAUACGUGCCAAGCUAAUAUCUUAGUUUACGAUGCUUUGGAUUCCAAAUUCUCAGGAAGCAUCUACUCUUAGUUCUACCAAAUUCUUAGGUAGGGUGAGCCAACUCGGUUGAUCCUUUCUUUUUUUUUCUUUUAUCUUUGAGAAAAGAUAUCUGUUGAUCAUUUGGUCUCAUCCAUCCUUUAAUUUUUAGGGUCUCUCAUUUCAUUAUCACCAAGCAGCUUUCCUUGAAGCCUUUGAUUAUUAGUAAGGAGGGUCUCCCUAGUCAAUUGGAAGGAAAACCUGGUAUACUAAAACUCACCCAACUUUAAUUUUGUCCUAGCUGUGGAGGCAUCUUAGCUUUCAUAUAGAUUGGAUACCAUGUCAUUUUCCAGCAAAUAUAUGAUGGGACAAUCUACUACUUGCUUAUUAUCCUCCUCUCCAUCAUUGCCUCUCCUCUCUUUGUCCGUGUUUAAUAAAAACUAGUGCAACCACUCAGACUUGCCAAAGCCAUCAACCUGCAAAACUACAAAAUAGAAUCUUGAGGACAAGCAAGGACAUGAAUAAAAUGGCACGACUGAAUGAUUCAACCUUUAACUCUUUAAAGCCUGGCCACAUUCUUAACAUCUCCACUCUUCCAAUGGUUAUUGUAGCCUUGCUAGUUCUCUUCCUUGCCUUGCUGCCUAUCAUCCAUCUUCUAACCAAAGAAAGAAGCUCAUCAAAAAGACUCCCUCCUGGUUCUCUAGGCCUUCCCAUCAUUGGCCAGAGCCUUGGCCUUCUCCGAGCCAUGCAGGCCAACACCGGCGAGCAAUGGCUCGAGGAAAGAAUAAAAAAGUAUGGGCCAAUCUCGAAGCUAUCACUCUUCGGGACGCCGACGAUCUUUCUGACCGGUCCGGCAGCAAACAAGUUCGUAUUCAUGAAUGAAGCAUUGGUUCCCCAGCAGCCAAGUUCUAUUACCAGGAUACUGGGCAAGAAGUCCAUACUUGAAUUGGCUGGAGAGGAUCACAAGCGUGUGAGAGCAGCAAUAAUGCAGUUCCUGAAGCCAGAUGUGUUGAAGAAUUACGUGGGCAAAAUUGACUGGGAGGUCAGGCAUCAUCUCAAGAUGAACUGGAUCGCCCGGCAGACCGUCGUGGUAUGGUUAUUAUCUUGCCUGUUAUAACAAAAAAUAAUACUAGUCACAGUCCCCCCCACAAAAAAAAAAAAAAAAACCUAGCAAAAAGAAACUGAAAAAAGAAAAGCAAUUUUGAUGUGUUAACAUCGUUAUAAUUCAAAGUAAUAAUUCGAUCAUGAUGCUGAAUUGUUGAUUGGUGUGAGGGUUGCUAGUUGGGACUAUUACUUACGAAAAAUUGAAACAAAGGAGGCGAUCGCGACAAUUUUAGAGUCAUAACGUUUGCAUUACGUAUACGUGCAUAACCAAUAUUUUGCUAUUAUCCUUCUAUAUUAACUGGUAUCAGCAUUUCGUCAUAAUCUAGAGCCUUAUGGCUUAACUAUAUUAACAAGAAACAGUGAUUUAAAAGACUAACAGUAGAGGUGAGGCGGCCAGCAUGAAAACAUGACAACAUGAUUUGAAAAAUGUAAGCCUCAAAUAUUCAUUUCAACUAAUUAUAGAUAACAUAAUGACAAUAGGAAUAUUCCUCAUGAACUCUUCUAAUCAUCUCAAUUGCUCUCCACUAAGAGUCAAGAAGCUUAAGGUAUCUAGNNNNNNNNNNNNNNNNNNNNNNNNNNNNNNNNNNNNNNNNNNNNNNNNNNNNNNNNNNNNNNNNNNNNNNNNNNNNNUAUAGACUAGAAUCUCAAAAUUUCAUGGUGAACAGAAGCGGGGAAUAGAAGAAACGAGUCUACAAUUUUGUGGAGGGCAUGACAAUCAUUUAAUGAUCAAUGAAGUUGUAUUUAAUCUUAAACGGACACUAGCGAGCAAAAUAAGAAUCUUAUGCUUCUAUUUUGCCAAGUUUUAUACUUCUAAUGUUUAAAGGAUUGUAGUGACGAAAUAAUUAAGAAUCUCAUUCCUCUCUUCUUUGCUUUUAAAACUAAUGCAAAGGACAUGCUUCGAUUCAAAAAUGUAAGCCUCAGCAAGCGAUUUCAAGGUGGAAGGAAGCCUGAAUCUGUUUUCUACCGCCUUGUCUUGAAGCAUUUUGACUCUCAAGCUAGCUUCUCCAAACAAAAGAGAGGCCACAAAUGCUCACUAACUAGUUUACGAGGCCAUGGGACCAAUUACUUCUGGUGGAGCACAGAUACAAACACGGUAUUGAUAUCCUUGAAACUAUUUGCAGGUGAUGCCUUUAAUGAAGUGUCUCACGUUCGACAUCAUAUGCUCCCUUAUGUUCGGGUUGAAGAGGGGUCCCAUGCGAGAAGGCCUGGCGAAGGAUUUUGCGGACAUGCUGGCAGGAAUGUGGGCGGUGCCUCUGAACCUGCCCUUCACCCACUUCAGCAGGAGCCUGAGAGCGAGCCAGCGGGCUCGAAAGGUGCUCGCCGGAAUCACCCGAGAGAGAAGGUCCAUGGCGGCCCAAGGCCAGGACUCCUCCGGCGAAGAAGACCUCAUCACCCGUCUGCUCACCUUGGGUGGUGAAGAUGGCCCCGAUGGAUUAACUGAUGAAGAAAUCGUGGACAACGCGAUGCUCGUCAUGGUCGCUGGUCAUGACACCUCGUCCAUCCUCAUGACCUUUAUGAUCCGCCACCUCGCCAAGGAUCAAGUCACCUGUGACGCCGUCGUUAAUGGUAACAAAUCUUUUUGCUUGUUAUCUAUGAUUUCAUAUGAGUUAUUUAAAUGAUUGCCUCAUUUUUUUAUUUUUUAAGAAUUGUUCUCCAUUUUGUCACAUUCUUUACCCUCCUCUCAAUGCAAGGAAGCCCACAAAAUGUUCAUUAAUUAGUGGCAACUCUGGUAUAUACCCGAAGGAAUCGAGUUAUUGAUCUUUUUUAUAUGUGUUCUUCUCUCACUUGGAAUUCUUAUGUUGUGGACUGCAGAGCAGGAAGAGAUAGCCAAGAGCAAGGCCCCGGGGGAGGCUCUAACAUGGGAUGAUCUUUACAAGAUGAAGUAUACGUGGCGAGUUGCACUGGAGAUACUAAGGAUGAUCCCUCCACUGUUUGGGAACUUUCGAAGAGCUCUGAGAGAUGUCGAGUUUGAUGGGUACCUCAUACCAAAAGGGUGGCAGGUAGGGAGAGAAAACUUGAAUAAUUUUGUUACUAAUUGUUACUUUUGAAUGGAAGAUUUUUAGCCAUUCUCAUCGAACUUGAAGUUUGUCCCUCUAAUGCUUUAGGUGUUCUGGGCAUCAAGCAUAACACAUAUGGACACUAAGAUUUUCCAAGAACCAUGUAAAUUUGAUCCAACACGAUUUGAUAACCAAUCAUCAAUUCCACCUUACUGCUUUGUGGCAUUUGGAAGCGGGCCACGAAUUUGCCCCGGCAGUGAGUUUGCAAGAAUAGAGACACUCGUCACAAUGCACUACCUAGUUACGAGAUUCAAAUGGAAAUUGUGCUGCAAAGAUGAUGUUUUUAGCAGGGAUCCAAUGCCAUCACCUUCUCGAGGGCUUCCAAUCCAGCUCGAGCAGAAGAAUAAUCUAUGAACAACUUAUGAUUGUUAAAUAAAUUGAGUCCUCAAAGGUUGAUUUUUUUUUUUUUGAUAAAAAGAAGAUGGGGAAUUGUCAAGAGGAACUCAAGGUCAUUUUGCAGCUAAGAUGUAUUUGUUUUCUAUCAUGGAAAAAGAAAAAAUGGUAUGCUGGCCUUUUGGCUGGUCUUGCUUUUGGGGAGGAUCAUAGGAUCCUUUAUGCUGCGUGGUUUGCAUCAUAGAUAGUUUUAUGGCACUCGAUGGUUGUUAUCACGAGAUAGACAAUUAUCAAUUGCGACAUGCCAUGUAUAGUAUAUGAGACCAUAUUAUUUGAUAGUUAUCCAUUUUCUGAUAGCAGGCUUUGGAGCUAACUGCGUCAUAUGGAACCAUAGCAAGGAUUUUCUUUUACCUUUUGGAGUUGCCGGUGUAGGGGGACCUAACUAGUUAAUAUUUUCUUUUCUUUAGUCCCAUGGCGAUCCUUGUGCGCGCAUGUAUGUUUUGUUUGGAAAGAUAGAGGGGAAUUUCUUUUAUGAUUAAUCUAAUGCUCGCAAACAAAAGCUAUUAUAAAGCUGAGAAAAUCAAACUGGUUCAUUGCACAAGAAGUUUGAAAUAUUCUAGUUGUACACCGUUCGAAGGGCCCACAAUGUCAUGCCAUCUUAUGCGGGGAGACAUCUAUUCUUGAUCUAUAAUUCCGGCAGUGGUCCCUUUGGCUAGUGCCGGGUUUUGCACUCCCUCUUACUCUAUGUGACGUUCUAAUCUCUUAGAUUUUCGUCAAUAAGUAGGGUACUAUUUCCAUCCAUUUUCAUUAGAACAAAAGACAAGUUAACUGUUUAAAUAUAGUAAUUUUAUCGUUAUUGCAAUCUAAACUGAUUAUUAGUGUUAUAAUGAGAAAACAUUAAAUGGUGUUUUCGGAAAAAGAAAUCCUGCUUUAAAAUAAGAAAAUAUGGUGGAAAUUUUCAAGCUUUAAUCUUUCAUUUUAUCACUAGAGUUAGUUUCUCCAAAUCCUACCUCAUCUUCCCGCAAUUAGCUUCAGACAAAGUCACGGUCACAUUUUCGGCCUCUGUCUAGCCAACAUCUGACCGUGCAUGAGUUUGCUGGUUUAUGGAUCGACCUGAAAAUUAUGAAAAGUAUUCGCAUUAAGUUUGAGUUCGUUCAAGCUAGACUCCUCGGUAGGGCCUUAAAAGUGGAUGGAUUUACCCUUUCUCAAUCUAGAAUUAGCUCAACAUUAACACGCUCCAAGUCUUGGAUUAAGGAAAAAGACACCUUAUAUGAUUGGUUACGAAUCACCAAGUGACAUGAUUCGAUCCAAAACUAUUAAAACUUUUACUGUCACAGCACUCCCUGAGUUUAAGAAACUAAUUUGGUUUUGAAUUAUAACUUUUAAAUAGUUAAUUAUUAGUAUGUAUUAUAUGUGAUUGUCAAUUAAUCUUGUGCCAAAUGUGGUGCCAACAAAGCCUACAUGUUUAAUUAUUGUUUUCGUAAAUGAUGGCUAAAAUAUAACAAUGUAAUCAACUUAUGCAUAAAAUUUUAUGGUUUGUUUAUGAAUUGUUUUUGACUUGAUUCUAUCCAAAAACAUGAUGAAGUAAACAAAUAAAUCCUAAACCUGAUCUAAAAAAAUGCAUUUUUUCUAGCUGUCCAAGAAAAAAAAAGGUAAACAAAACAAUACGCUGGGUGCAGUGUUUGAACCUUCUAAAUGGUCUUUUAAAAAUUAAAGCAAAUGCCACUGAGAUGGAUUCAAGCUUAAACAACCCCCAGCCGCCCAACACAAAGGAAAAAGAAACCUUAAAAGAAAAAAAAAAAUGUCACGGUACAAAGCAAUUUGCCUUUGACGACCUUAAUUAUUUGCCUAGAAAAAUCUUUUCUAGGUCGGUAGGUACACUAAAGAUGGUAUUUCAGUACUUGUGUAAGUUAAAAUUAGAGAGCAUAGUUGAUCUAGCAAAGUGACUUAGGGUCCAUUGUAUAAAAUUCUAUUUUACUUUUAAAAACAUAGAUUAAGAAACGUGACUGAAAAUUAUCUUUAAUGACACUUUUUUUUCUUCAAUAACUGCUAUAAGAGUUUAAUAUUUAUAUUAGUAAAAAUCUUACAAUUCUAGAGAAAAGAGAACAUAAACAAAUGGUAGCUAUAGAUAUGUGCCCCUCCUCUCUCCAUCUAACGUGAGGGAGAGGCUCUCAGCACUCCUCCAUGUGGUAUUUUUGAGCCAAUGAAACAAGAAAAUGACGACAUUAAGCCAACCUCUCUACGUAGCACAUAAAAUUACUCGUAUCACUGGAACUAACUAAACUAAAAUUGAACAAUCAUUUUCAGCACUAUACUUCCUGACAAGUACUACUCCAUGAUUGGAUAUAUGUCAUCUAUUAAAACAAAUCAAACCAUUCUAUUCUAAAAUGGUUUGCUAUUUCCAACACCACAUUUCCUAACUAAUGUUACUAUGAGGGCUUGUUAGUACCUACACCAUAAAACAACACAUUGGAAGUCACAAAAGAAAGUCAUGGCAGAAAGCCUUAACACCAAAUCUAGUCUUUCAUCUAAGCUCCCACAAGUUCCAACCAUGCCACGAACAGUUCGAUAGAUCUAACAUCCUUGCUGCAGAUGUUCAAUGACAUUACUGGAUAGGGUGGUAUUGUGCUGACACUCGUUUACGAGGAAGUUUGCGGAGGAUGUAUAGAACAAGUGCUGAAGGAAGGAUCUCAGCCAGCUGUUCAAUACAAAUUUUAAUGUGUUACAACAUCAGAUGUAAGCAGUUCUGUCAGCUAAAAGACUAUACAAACUUACCGUGUAAUAGAUGAGGUCCAAAAUUGGGUGAUCCAAAACCUCAAGAGAUGCAUCAGGAUCAAACGCAGAUAACCCAACCUACAAAUAGGAAAUGGAUAUACGAUAGAAUAAGUAAAUGAUUAAUGCAGUGAAUGGAAGCAAGAGUGGUCAACAAGUAGCUCACAGAAAAUUUUACUGCAAUGACCUACAUAUGGAUAUCCCCCCGAGGGGGCAGGGGGGUAAUGUCCAUCUAAUCUGGAAGUAGGUGUUUGAGCGAGGUAUCUGAGCGAGUUAGUUGUAUAAUACCAAAUUAUGACAAGGAAUGUAGGAUUGUUCCUUCCUAUUUAGACAAGAUCUUGGAUAGCUGCUACAAAUACCCAUCAGAGAUACAAAGUUUACCUAAGUCUGAAAGUUACAUGCAUAACUAUUAAUUAUAAGGAGAAGUAUUUAGACACCUCCUCAACUUAUAGUCAAUUUCACUUAGUACCCCUCGAGUUUAAUAGUUUUAAAGUGGUCUUUGAAGUAAGUUGAGUAGUUUAGUAUGAUCCUGCCAUCCAUCUUUGUUUACCUAGCCUCACGGGAUUCCAUCAUGUGAUGGUCACAUCAGGUUUAUAUAUAUAUAUAAAAGGAUGUCCCAAGCAAGUACCAGGAUGCUCGAUCGGGAUGGUCACCAAGAUAGGAUGAGAUGUGAGACAUCUCGUUCUAUAGGAAAACCAAGAUGUCCCCAUCCUGUAGGAUUUAAAACCUUGGUGGUGAUGGCAAUAAUGUUGGUGGUGAGCGAUGAAGGGAGUAACAUAACGAGGAGAAGGAGGAGAAAAGGGAGGUUUAGGUAGUGAUGAUGGUUUUGGAGGGAGGAAGAGGAGGAGAAGCGCUACAUGCAAUAGUGGUGGUUCUAGUGAUGGUGCUGGUGAUCGGGUGCGAGGGGAGGAAGAGAAGGGAGAGAAGAGGAGGUGCACGAAGCGACAGUGGUUCCAACGAUGAUGCUGGUGGUGAGCUGUGCAGGGAGGAAGGGAAGGAGAAAAAAGAAAAUGAGGAGAAUAAAAGGAUAGGAGGAAGUAGAGCUGGACCAAAUCCUUCCAAAUCGAGCUAGUUGGGAGGGAAGAAAGGCGGGAGGAGAAGAGGAAGAGAUGGAAAACAAGAAAAAGAAAAUGGCGAGCUCGUUGGUGGAGGACAAGAGGAUGAGAAGAAGAACAAGAUAAGGAGAGGUUGCAGAGGAGGAAGACUAUGGCAAAGGCAGAUCAGGCUAGUGGCAGAGGUGAUCAGAGGUAGAUGGGGUUGUGAGCAAAGAAGAAAGAUAAGAUCAGGUCCUUGGGAGGAAGCCGUGUCUCAAUUAGGGGGCUAAAAGCAGAAAUGAUGGAUGGUUUCCCUUUUCAUAAAAUGUGAAAACCAGGAAUCUGGUUUUCACUAUCUUAAAAACUUGGCUCAUAGUUUUUAAAAACAUCAAAAAAAAAAAAUCUAAGCACCGAACAUGGUUUUUGCCUUGUUUAUGUAGUUUUGAAAAAACAAAAAUAAAAAUCAUAAACUGGCAAACGUGCCAAACAUGCCCUAAAUUGUCAAUUUCUAUGAAAAUGUUGGGCACAAAAUUGUUAAUUAAUAGGUUGUGUAAGUAAUCCUUCUUAACAAAAAGAAUAUAUCUCACCCUAUCACAACAAAUGGAUCCGUGGAACCUAAAAUACCAUUAUCCUGGAAAAAUAAGUCCAUUUGUUUCGUCUAUUCAGCCUCCGUCCAGAAUCUAGAUCCUUUAAGAAAAAAGCAAACACUCACUAAGUUUGGCUAUAAGUCUCAUCAUGCAUGCCCAAACUAUCUCAGGGAUUUGCAGAUAAUUUUGCCCACCAUCUUUACCACUACCAAGCUUCUCUUUCUUUCCUUCUCCACUAAUCAUCCUAGUUGACAAAACUAUAAUCUUUGUCAUUUGUUCCUGUCAAGUUCAAAAACUAUUUUCCUUAAACAAUUCAAGUUUUGGUUUCCUUGAGGUGUAGAAACUUGGUUAAUGGAUACUCCAUGACACACUUCAACAUAGCAAAUCAUGAUGCCAUCCCCACUCCGUGUCAAUACUUUACAAAAGCUGUUAGGUAUAACAUAACUUUUAAAAAAAGAUGAUGCCGCUUUCAUCAAAUCAUGGAGCAACUAAUCUAACUAAUAGUUUAGUACAUUCAUACACAUCUGCAAACAUCUAUAUAGCACAAACAUGAUCCUGUGUCUGAUUUCUUGAAGGGCAUGUUUGCUUUCAUAGAUGUGGCAGAAGUUGAAGUCUGUCCACUUUGGGUGACUUCAGACACUCCCCUUCCAAAGUUGCUGAAGUCACCUUUUAGUUGUGAUGUGGCAAAGUGGGACUUCUGUGGGAAGUUGACUUCAAGACCACUUUGGUGAACCAAGCAACCUAAAGUCCAUGCUUCCACCGGAAGCAAUCUUUGGGCUGCCAACCUCACCCCAACCAAACAUGCCCAAAGUAUCACAUGGCAGAUUCUUUUGGAUACCUAGACUCCCUCAGUAAUGUUCAAGAUAUAAUUCUUAUCAAAAAAGAAAACCAUGUUUAGCACUCCCAUCUAUGUUUCUCAGUCUUUCCAUCAUCAAGGAUCUAGAUCCUUGAAGCAUUAUGCAAGCACCCUCGGGAUCUAGCACUCAGUCUCAUCAUACAUGAUCAAACUAUCUGAGAUUUGAAAAUAAUUUUGCCACCAGCUAGUCUUUACCAAGAUUUCAAUACCCAUUUAACUUGAUCCUCGCUACAUUUGCCACAGCUCAACUUACUAUCUAUUAUAUGCUCUAUUUCAAGUCAUUGCACAAGUGCCAAAACUAAAACUAGAAAAUGGGUAAUGAACACACUACAGAAACUUCACAAAAUGUCAUAAGCAUGCCACAAUCAUGGAAUAUACAUCUACCAAUGUCAUCCUUCUGUAUUUGACCAUGGCAAUCUACCCCAUUUUAUUGCCAAUAAAUUGGCACUCAUCCAACUUACCAUCCUUUUGUAAAACAAAGGCAGCAUACAAAAACAUGGUGGUUUUAGAGCAUUUCAUGGUUGGUCAUUGCAACUACAGCCUCAUCUUCAUAUUUUAUUCUAUCAAACAAUAUUCCAGUAGAUUUCUUUCAAUUUAAUCACAUUAUUAACUUUUGAAACAGGGUCAGCGGAACCGUCUCGAACCGGGAAGUUCCAGUCGUACCGAGCCAUCCCGGGGUCAGUUCCGGCAACGAAAACAAAAUUUAUUGCCGGAAGGGGGAGAAGGAGAAGGAAAGAGAGAAAAAGAGCGAAAGGGGGAGGGAGAGAGAGGGAGAAGGGGGAAGGCCGACGGAGGGUCGUGGAGGCUUGCGGAGGGCUGGCGGCGACCGGCGCCCAAGCAGAAGGCGGAGGUCGUGGCCGGGUCCCAUGUUUCGUUCUAAAUAGGGGUCCGGCCGCUAAAAAAUUUCACAAUUUUAAGUGAAAUCAAACGAAAUAGGGGACCCAGUCGUAGCCUCCGCCUCCUACCCGAGCGUCAGCCUUCGCCGGCCUCCCUCUCCCCCUUUCUCUCUUUUUCUCUCUCCCAUUCGCCCUCUCCCCCGCCUUCUAUACUGUGUCAGUAUAGGCCCGGCACAGCACGACACGGGCCCAUACCGACCCGUGUUGUCGGGCAGCCGGUCCAGUGCCCGAUACUGGCAUAGCAGACCAUGCCUUGAAACCUAUUCUUGGUGUAAACCAAUUGGACAUCAAAAUAAUAAUGCAUGUUGUUGAUCCAUCAUACAUGUUUUGAUCUAGUCAGUUUUGGUUUUGAACGUAUUUUGUUAUGGAAACAUGUCACGCUUGAUACUCAUGAUAAUAUUCUUUUUGAGUAAUGUUAUUAUAUGAUGAUACUCAGAUAAAUGCACUCUAAUAAACAUGACCACUUGUAGGAGUUCUAAGACACAUUUGAGGGGAACAUCAUUUUAGGAUUAUCUAUCAUAAAAAAUAAAAAAAAUAUAAUUAUAAGUAUUUUAAGAUAAAGCAUACCAUGUGACUAAUGAUUUCAUUCAAACUAGUAGGCUCAAACUGAACAAUAUAAAUGUAUAUCCUUUUCCUUCUUUUCCCCCUUCCAAGAGCAUGUGAAAAUAAGAUCAUAAAAACAAGAGCUCUCCAGUACCAAGAGCAUGACUAAACCACAAUAGUGUAUUCUUUCUAUGAAUUAUUAUUUUUAAUUUUGUAAAAAAAUAAAAUCUUUUCCAUAAGAGAAUAUACAUCAACAUGCAAUAUUAUGCUAUCAAAAUAGGCACGCAACAUGUUGUUCUCAUUCUAUGGAAGGUGACAUUUUAUAAUUUAUACUAAACAUCACUAUAACUUUGAAACAGCAAAGUGCAUUUAAUACUUGAAUACUUACCACAAAGCAUCUUAUGAGGAAGCAGGUGAAGCAUAUUGCUGUAACAGAUCCGACCUGCAGUGCACUCCAAAAUAUGAAAUUAUAAUCAAAAUACUCAGUAGUUACCUAAAAUACUUUCUAGAACACAGAACAAAGAAAUUAUUAUUUAUUGAUGCUUAUGAAAACUGAUUCAAAGAAGAAAAAGGAUCAGAAAGAACAAAAAGGAAAGGGAGGUCAGAGGGAAAGAUCUGUAUUCUAAAGCUCUACAAGGAUAAAUAUUUAGAUGUUGCGUCAAUUCACUUAAUCUAACUAUCUGAAUUCCAAUAAGUAACACAUUUGAGCUUGACUAAUUACUGAAUUAUAGUCUACAAUCCGGUCAAAAUAAUAAUAAAAGAAUGACGAAGACAUAAUAUUUAAUAAUUGAGCAUCAUUAUUGCUAAUGGGAAGUCAAAUCAUUUUAUUAUUAAGGGAAACCAGUAUGUUCUUGAAAAUUAAUGGUAAGCAGAAAAACAUAGUGUGAAAUGAAAAGGGAUUAAUCAUGGCUUCAUUAUGUCUCUUUUGGAAUAAUAUCGAUCAAAAUUCGCAAUCUCGGUACCAGACCCGUACUGGUGUCGCACUAGUAUAGUGUUAGUACAGUACAAUACGGAGUUUUUUUGGCAUACCAGUACACCAUCCGGUUCGGGCCAGUACGACAUACCAUGAUAUUGAUGCUAGAUGAAGAUCAAUGUCUCUCAUAGCCAUCAUGCAAUUUAUGGUAUCGAAAAGUUAUAUCCUUUUCUAAAUCCAUGAUUUAUUUUUUUAAAUGUGUCUAUGGAGUGUUUUAAAUCAAUAACUUUCAUUCAUAAACAAGAACCAAAAACAAAUUGUUUGGAUGGUUAUGGCACUGCUAUGAGGUUGUCGAAUUAUAUUUAUGAAGAAUUUUCUGAACAUGUUGAGUUCUAUAAGAGUUCUAUUAGAUUCUAAGUCAUUUGUUUAUCCACACAUACACACACAAUAUGCUCUAAAAUAUAAUUUUAAUACCAUGUUCAGAGGCGCAAUAACAUGGAAAUUUUCAUUCCAACCCCUGCUUCCGCAGCGGCCAGCACACUCAUAAAAUCAUGUACUCCUACAGAAAAGGUCUACGCAUGGAGACACUCAACAUUACAAUCAAAACUUAUACAAGAUUCUACUAGGGAAACAAGGAAUGAGCAGGCAUUAUUUUUUCAAAAGGAAUGCAAUGUUCAUAAAUUGCCUAAAUAAAAAUUAAAUGCACUCUGCACCAUGCAACCAAGCAGAAAUUCUUAUGAGGCCCUGGUAUUUUUUGUACACAUAAAAUUUAUCAGUAUAAGAGAGAGAUUGACAAUAUAUACAUUAUAGAUGAUAUAUAAAAAUAAAAGAAUCCAUUUACCUCUGCAAAAAUGAGAAAAAAAAAGAGUAAUUGCUUAGUCAAGUGGCUACAUUUGCAAAUUAUGGCUACAAGUAUUUUAUAUACUUGUUUCCUUUUAUUUGUUUAUAUCAUUUUUGCAACUAUUUAAGAGUGUGUAUGUUUGCAUGCAAGUUGAUAAACCAUAUCCUUCACAAUGAACUGAAACAUGAAAAAUCCGAAGACAGUUUCUCUGAGAAUUAUUAUAUAUGAUGAUUAAAUGAUUUAUUUCCCAACAAUAGAAUAAAAAGUUUCAUUCAUCUAUCAUUGAGAACUAGCCCAGGCAAUUGAAUUUUGAUCUAAAUGUCUUUUAGGAUUCAUAUAACUAAAUAAAAGGUGAGAAUCAUCAAUUUGUAUGGUCCACUAUGAGUGCUGGCACAAGAUACAACUAAGUUGCUCAUGCCUAGAAAAAUUAGAGCCCAUAUGUGUUUAUAUAUGAAGAGAGAGAAAGAGAGAGGGAGAGACAGAGAGAGAUGACUCGGAACCUUCAAGCCCUGAUGGGCUAACUAAAUAGAGGACCCACAACAAUGAUCAUGACCUACAACAUGUCUUGCAAGUCUCAUAUCUAUGCAUUGAAUGACAUGAAAUAGAUGGUAUCAGUAGGGCUAGAAUAAAAUUUAUGACAGGGAAUACUACACAUUAAAAGAUGUAUGAACAUAAGUUUAACAGGGUUGGCUUCUUCUAAAAAAUCAAUCAAAUUAAUAUACUCAUCUUGUAUUUGUUUGAUGCAUAGGGUGCAGCCACCAAAACAUCUGAUUUUUUUUUGGUUUUCUAGACAAUUUAAAAAAAAGGCUCAGAACUGGGCACUGUGGAUUUUCAAUUCAGAUAGUCGAUUUAUUUGCACUGAAAAGAUUUGGGCUCCAAUCCCGCUGGUAGUAUUCUCUCCCUCUUUCUGUGUGUAUAUAUGUAGGUGCACAUGUAUGUGUGCAUCUAAAGAGAUGGAUGAACAGAUAGAAAUAUAGAUAUAGAUACCACGUGAAGAAACAUGAUCAAUAUCUGGUUCAUCCUUUUAUCCAGCAUUUAGAUUUCUUUAUAAAGUCUUUAACUAACUUCCCUCAUUAACUUAUAAGAGAAGAUCCUACCUCAUGAAGCUUCUUUCUUCUCCCUUUUGAUUCAAUGGGGAAACGCCUCAGCAUGAAAAAUAGCCUAUGAACAGAUUCAGAUAUGAUCAUGAAAAAAGGCUGCAGAAGACAAAAUAUCUAGGCAAAACAAGAAACUGACACAAACAAGUUUACCUUCCUCCAUAUACCAAGAAUCCAAGUGCAGCUAAGAAUGAUACCACUGAAAUUGCAAAAGACAUAACCAUAAACACAAGCAUAUCAAGACGGUUAAUAUUCAACCAAGUCAGAUUGAGAGAGAAAUCAUAAUAUACCUACUAUGAAGAUCUUUCCAAUUAACUCCACAACACUAUUGUCAUUUAUCCAGAGGUAUGUCCAUAUACCAACCUGACAGAAAGUGAUUUCCAUUAAAGUGCAAAAAGGCACUACAUGACUUAGAGCAACAAAUUACUUGUGACCAGUAGAGAAUUAUCAAUCUGCUAAAGUGGUCAGCAAAAAGCACUUAUUUGCCAGGAAGUAGCUACCAUUAGGCCUUAGGUUGCAUAUAAGAGCUAAAAGAACCACUUAAUGAUUAAAAAUUGUUCUGUUUCAACAAAUGCAUUAUAGAUUAUCAACUUAAGUAGUAUCAUACUAACAUGUAACCAAAGCAAGUACCAUAUUAGUUCCCAACAAAGUAAGACAUUUUUGGCGAAUGUUUAAACAUUUCUAGGAGCCAAACUUUUGGCUCACAUAGCAUGAUUAUGUCAUAGUUUACCUACAUAAUUAUGUAAUCCCCUUCCCGUCAACCUAGCAUAAGAAGAGCAGUUGCAAAUGAAGCUUCUGUCGGAAAUGAAAAGUUGAUAUGGGAUACUAGUGGAACCCAACAAGCAUAUGGUAGUUUCAUGCCAAACAACAUGCCAAUUCAUUUGAACAGUGGGCUACCUAAAUGUAAUUUUUUUUUUCAGUGAAAAACUUAUUAAAAUAAGAAACUGGCAUAAUGCUGGUUCAAUAGAAGCAGCACAGGGAGCACAGGCAGGCGUAUCAGUAUGCAUGAGUAAUUUAUACUUGGUGUGUCAGAACUGAAGAUAAAACUGCACAGGGAGCACAAAUGACUGUAAAUAUUUCCUGCAGUUCAGAAAAAAACAGCGGGCCAUACUGCCACCAUUAUAACUAGUGUUGUGUCGAUGGAAGUUCUUCAAUAGCUUUACAGCACCAUCUGUCUAUAACCUUUUUGUGACACAUGGAAGACCACUACACUUGCCUACCUUUUUUACUAUCCACCCUCUUGACAGAAAUUUACUUCUUUAUUAUAUACCUCCUACCAGCUAUUCCCAGUUAAGAUCUUCAUGGAUAAUUUUUUGCAGAUCCACUCACAAAAUUAUCUCUGGAUUUUUUAUGCUUCUGUUCAAAUUUCUGUUACUAUCUUAAUGUAACAUAAGGAUUCUUAACUAUUUUUCUGCAAUAAAGUUUGUUUUAUAAACUUUCUCACCAAAAAAAUAUUUUAAUCGUCCUUAUUAGAAUUCCUUGAGAGUUGCUGUCAAAAAUCUUGCCACAUACAACAUACAUUUUGUGAUACAGUCCACAUGGGUUAUAAAGCACUACAGAUUGCAUGGUGUGAAAAUAAAUUAUUUGUAGUGAUGACAAAUGAAAACUGGCUUUUAAAAGCUCUAGACUUGCUCAUGCAAGUUGCAUAGGAAAUUUUUAUAUGCCCCUCUAUAUUUUUUUCUUGAAAAUAGAAAGAUUAUUUAAUGUUAUGGAAAGCCAAAGUGUAGAGUUAUUUCCUUAAACUGUAUUUUUUAAUGAAAAUCAAGAAAAUGAACAACUGAUAACAUUGAAGUAAACAAAAUAGAUAAAUCUACUAAUUUGCAAUAGAAUUCUGAUUUGAUUUAAUUUAUAAUUUAGGAAAUGAUUUCAUAUUCCGAAGAAUAAUUGCGAAUUGAUAUCUUCCUCACAACCAGAGGUUAACUUUUCUAUAAAAGAAUGCUUAUUGUGUUACACAUAAAACAACUCUAAGAAGCAGCACCAGCCUGCAGUCCCAUCAAUUACUUGGUCAGUCUCCCUCUUUGAUUUCACCUUAACAGAUGUUGCUGACUUCCCUUACAGCACAAAGUCAACACACGUAUAAAUUACUUCACUGACUUUGGUCCUAUAUCAUAUAAGACCAAUACUACAAUGGAAUUGCUGCAAAGAAAAUCGUAAAAAAAGAAUUAUGUAAAAUUUCAUUGUCUUGAGUCAUUAAUUGAGACUUUUAGUAUUUUAUUAGGAUUAUACACACUAAGGAUUUAAGUGCCAGUGGCGCAGGGCACACCAACCAGUAGCCCAAAUGGCAUGUACGAUGCUCUGCAAUACUGGCACACAUCCCAUUCCCUACACAAGCAGAAACAAAAAGGGAUUUAGAAAGCUCUUUUUAACUAGAAAAUUAAUAGCUGCCAUGCUGACCGUUGCUGGCUACCAAUAUUGUCAUGGCAUGAGCCAGCAUUUGAAAGCAUGGUCCAUAUUCUACUGAAAAAAAAAUGAACUGGGAAGUUAUCUUGAUGCAUCUUAUUCAGAGUUUGAAGCCUUUGAGAGGAUCUGAAAUAAAUCAUCUACAGCCUUCAUAUGUUUUUCUCCUAGAAGCUCUACAAUUGUAUUCUAGCUCUUAAAAUGAUUAUGGAUAUACGCAGAUCAAUCAUCCAAAGAUAUGUAUCACCUCGUGUUCAUCUUGUAAUACUGUAUAUUACAGUCUACCAUAUUGUAUUAGAUCACAGAUAUAUAAAUCCCUUAAUAGAAGACUAGCAGUACUCACUUUGAAAAAUUUCAUGCAUGGAGAGGAUAUUUAUUUGACAAAACACACACCUGAAUAAUGUAAAUCACACUAUUGAUAGAGAUGUAAACAGUCCUUAGCUUGUCUGUCGGAAGACUCCUGGCCUAGCAAUCAAAAGAAAAGCAAGAGUGAUAUAAAAUGGCAGGUUAGACAUUAUAAGAGGAAACACAUAUUCAUGCAUACAAGCAAGAACUACCCAUCAAACUUGCCUGGUGAUAUAUCUCUGCCCAGAAUAGAACAAGCAGCGUGUAUGUAGAGAAAAAUAAUAACCCAGGAAGGUCUAAUAGUGCUAAAGUGAAUACCUGGUACAAGAAAAUAAUUAAUUAUUGCAAUCAAUUAUCCAAGAUUUUGCACCACAAAUAAAAUACAUGAAAGAAUUCCUAUCAUGAAGAGAAACCAAUUAAUCAUCCUAGCUUUCAUAGAAUAAAAUACAUAAAAGAAUUCCUAUCAUGAAGAGAAACCAAUUAAUCAUCCUAGCUUUCAUAGAAUAAAAUCCAUGAAUGAAUUCCUAUCAUGAAAAGACACCAAUUAAAAAAUGAAUAAACAAAAAAAUUGAUGCAUUAGAAUGUCCUAAUGGAAACCAUAAAAUUUAUUGUAUUUGAAGGAAAUAUUACUUGCAGAUCAACAAAAGAGUAACUACAUCAGUUCCUGGCCACGGCUAAGCCAGCAUAACUAUCAAGCCAUUGUAUAUACGAGAACAGUCUCAGUCCAUGCAAUUAAUAAUUUUUCGCAUUUAUAUCCUAACACAGGCAACCAUAUAUCACAAAAUUAUUUCUCUGAAUUCAUUCUUCACUGAUUAACAAAAGCAAAACAGCAGUGCUGCAGCACUUGACUAAGCCAACUGAAUCAUGAUGCAGAUUCAUAAUUAGGUAGAGAUUUCCAAAAACCGUCUCUUAUUACUUCCUAAUAGAUUAGUUCAGGUAUCCUGUCAUCUUGUCAGAACUCAUGAUGGCUGUUAUCUGACAUGAUCAAAUCACCCUUACCUUCCUUAAUAUAGAUAUUUCUGUCUAGUUAUACAUUAACCUCAAGAUCAUCAUCAUUCUAUUCUGUGAUAUGAGCAUGGAGUAUGUGCCAUCCUUAACUGAAGUCUUGGUGCAACUACAAUGCCAUUAAAUUAGGGUCCAAGUUGAAAGUUCAAAAGGUGCCAGGAAGGGGGGGACGGGGUUGGAUUCAACAUGGUGGUAGACAGGUAGCAGUAUGUUUUGACAGUGGAAAAGUAGGAUGGAAGUUAUGACAAGAGAUUCGAACACCCUAAAUUUUGGAGGAUUUUGCAAAUAGAGGGCUACCAAAGAUGAAGUGGGAUUCAUAAAGCAAAGAAAGAAUAGAUGAGAUGAGGCUAUAAUGCUCAUUAGCAUGGCAAGGUGGAUGAAAAUAUAGAAAGAUUAAAAACACUGAUGAACAAAAGCAAGUGGAGCAUAGUGAAGAAGAUAAGACACUUUGACACUAAGAUUUAGUGAGAAACAUCAGGAAAAUCAAAUUUAUAAGGGGAAAUAAAAGAGCAUAAGGUUGAAAAUUUAGAAGAAUGCAAAUCACAGUUGUUAAUAUAAGAAAAUGUUAUUGAAUGGAGGAUCACUGCAAAAGUCAUUAAAACAAUGGAUGAGAAGAAGAAAAGAAUUUUUAAGUUUUCUUUAAAGAUAUCUAUGCCCAAGAAAAUAAGUUUUUGUCUUUUUUUUUAAUUGCUAAAAGCCUGGAGGUGGGCAGUGGCAACCAAAGAAAUAAAUUGGAGAAAUAUUUUGAUGUUGGAAAGUUAAUGAAAGUUUGAAGUUGAGUGGGGACAUCUGAUGUCAAGUCAAAAUGAAAAGUUAAUUUGUUUUAUUUAGAGUUUUUUCCUCAGAAUAUAUAGGUAUCUUUUAUUAAUAAACAAAAGUGUACUAAAGAGUUCUAUUUUAUUAUGUUUGCUACUUCAAAGUAGGGAUUCAUCAAUUUUAAAAUAUAUCUAUAUAUAAAAGGUUCAUUGCCAUUUGCUUACAUACUUUUCACUUCUAAAUUGUGGAAUAUAACUUAUUACUACCAUAAAGAAAAAGAGUUAUUAAAUUUUGACAUCAUAAAGCAUUUACCAGUAGUUGACAAUAAAAUUGAAAGCUAGUGUUGUGAUAUUGUAGUAACGAAACAUGUCCACUAUCAGGCACAAAGGUACAACUACAUGCAUUUAUAUUAGGUGACAAAUCUUCAAAAUAUGUUAUAAUUAUGAAGUAAAUGAGUAUCAGUUUAUAAAAGUUAAACAAAUUAUACCACCUACAUCUGUGCAUAUUAGUACCACUCCCUCUCUCUCUCUCAAAUUCACUAUGAUCAUACAUUAAAAGGUUUUUUGACGAGAAAUUAGAUAAUGAAUUGAUAUGUCAUUUUACAUAUUAUCGAGCAAUGUACAUGUUCAAUUGGAUUUGUUCAGAGCACAAGUUUUAGAGCAGCAACUUGAUUGUUGGUGGUUUUGAAGCUUAUUGUUUGACAUGGUCCUGGAGCUUCUGUAAUUCACUGUGCAAGUGCAAACAUGUAAACUCUACUGUGAUUCGAUAUUCGAACUAUGAUAACCGACUUCACCAAUAUCAACAUGGUUGUUUUUGCUACUAGUUACCCACUCCGUAAAUUAAACACCCACUAUCCAAUUUGGAGGUCUAUGGUUACAUCAUAUUUGAU
rnacentral:lncRNA from 1 species